rnacentral:lncRNA from 11 species
GUUGUUUCCCUCUCAUUCUGCUUUGCCAUCCAAAGACAGAUCUGAGGGGAAGCAUGUCUAUGAAAAGGAUUGUGUUCUU